AGAGUUUGAUCCUGGCUCAGGACGAACGCUGGCGGCGUGCCUAAUACAUGCAAGUCGAGCGAGCUUGCCUAGAUGAAUUUGGUGCUUGCACCAAAUGAAACUAGAUACAAGCGAGCGGCGGACGGGUGAGUAACACGUGGGUAACCUGCCCAAGAGACUGGGAUAACACCUGGAAACAGAUGCUAAUACCGGAUAACAACACUAGACGCAUGUCUAGAGUUUAAAAGAUGGUUCUGCUAUCACUCUUGGAUGGACCUGCGGUGCAUUAGCUAGUUGGUAAGGUAACGGCUUACCAAGGCAAUGAUGCAUAGCCGAGUUGAGAGACUGAUCGGCCACAUUGGGACUGAGACACGGCCCAAACUCCUACGGGAGGCAGCAGUAGGGAAUCUUCCACAAUGGACGCAAGUCUGAUGGAGCAACGCCGCGUGAGUGAAGAAGGGUUUCGGCUCGUAAAGCUCUGUUGGUAGUGAAGAAAGAUAGAGGUAGUAACUGGCCUUUAUUUGACGGUAAUUACUUAGAAAGUCACGGCUAACUACGUGCCAGCAGCCGCGGUAAUACGUAGGUGGCAAGCGUUGUCCGGAUUUAUUGGGCGUAAAGCGAGUGCAGGCGGUUCAAUAAGUCUGAUGUGAAAGCCUUCGGCUCAACCGGAGAAUUGCAUCAGAAACUGUUGAACUUGAGUGCAGAAGAGGAGAGUGGAACUCCAUGUGUAGCGGUGGAAUGCGUAGAUAUAUGGAAGAACACCAGUGGCGAAGGCGGCUCUCUGGUCUGCAACUGACGCUGAGGCUCGAAAGCAUGGGUAGCGAACAGGAUUAGAUACCCUGGUAGUCCAUGCCGUAAACGAUGAGUGCUAAGUGUU
rnacentral:rRNA from 1 species